ensembl:lncRNA novel transcript
UGCACACAUCAUCUUCUCCAAGGUUUGUGUGCAGAAUAUCCUGCCCAUGCUGCCCCAGCAGCUUCAGUUGGCACCUGCCCCAGUCCAGCCUCUGGGAACCAUGCAGUGGCUCCCAGCGGCCCUGCAGCCACCACCAGCAUCCGUUUCACCUGCAGUUGAAGAUCCGUGAGGUGCCCAGAAGAUCAUGCAGUCAUCAGUCCCACGGAGCAGCCCGCGAGGCUGAGGCUCCUCCCACUGGACCGCCCCCCAACUGGCACCACUGCUGCCCCUGCCCCUACUCUCAGCCUCAUGUGACUCUCGGGCAGAGACAGUGGUGGGGCAGCCACGGCAGCGUCAAAAGUCUGAGCCAGCUGGAGGACAAGUUCGAGCAUCUUAAAAUGAUUCAACAGGAGGAGAUAAGGAAGCUCGAGGAAGAGAAAAAACAACUGGAAGGAGAAAUCAUAGAUUUUUAUAAAAUGAAAGCUGCCUCUGAAGCACUGCAGACUCAGCUGAGCACUGAUACAAAGAAAGACAAACAUCCUGAUCCAUAUGAAUUCCUCUUAUUAAGAAAAAUAAAGCAUCCAGGAUUCAAUGAAGAACUGACUAUCACCUUGUUAAUCAUUCAGAAACAUGUUGCAGACUUAAGCCAUUUUUGAUAUACAUACUGAAACAAUUACUUGCUAAGAGCAAACUUGAAGGUAUGGAUAAGGCCCUGAGUCAUCUUCCUGAGCUGAAUGAUAGUUAAGCU